GCGACUCCUUGCUGCCACACGGCAGAGCCUGGCCUCGAGCCCAGGCCAUCGCCUCUGUCCCGGCUCCGAAAACGACGCCCCAGGUGUGGCGCUUUGCCGCCCGAGCUGCAGCAGCCGCCUCAAGGUCCGUGUGACCUCUCCGCCUCCCCUCCCUGCGUCCCGCCUCUCCCGAGGCACAGUUCACUGAGCUCCGAUGCAACCCAUUGCGUGGAUGCUCUGUGACCCUCUGUCCCCCCUCCCGGCGAGUGAGGGAGGCUUACACCUGAAGUCUGUUCUUGCUGACUCUGCCAUCAAAGGUGCUCCCUUGGGGAAUGAGGAUUGUAGCCGGCAGCCAGAGGGGGCGGAGAGACACCGUCAGCUAAGGCAGAAAGGGUGUGUGCGGUCUGGAUACCUGGACUUUAAUACGAAGCCUUUUUUUCCAGCUGUGUGACCUCAGGACUCUUAAUACCGGCCCAUGUGCCUCCUGGAGACAAAGUGAGUCGUGGGAGAACUUCCUCCCCUCCUCUGGCCCUGCGUCAGUGCAUCCUCCUUGACCUCGCCAGGCAGUGACCGGGCUCGGGGGUACCAGGUCUAGCAGCAGGUGACGUUCUCGUGUUCCACGACAGCCUUCAGCCCCUUGGAGGAGGGAGGAGAUUCGGCUUCACUGAGCUCUGCGGUGCACACAGCCCUGCUGACUCACUUAAUCUUCAACACCACAGGGCGUGACUCUGCCCAUCUCUCAGAGGGGGACGCCGGGGCCCAGGGGAGCUAAGUAACCUGCCAAGGUUGCCCCACUCAGUAAGCGGUGGCUCGGACGUUGCUCUGCUGUCCUGACAGCCUGCCGCAGACUCACGGCAGGCAUUUGAGGGUGGCGCCCACAUUCAGCCAAGCCCUUCCCCUCCCCGUGCAGCCCGCAGAUCACCCUCUCUCCAGACGACACUUCAAGAGACAGGGCUCCUGAACUCUCACUUCUUGGGUGACAUUCUUGCUGUGCGUUCCCAGUGAAAUGUAGCGCCCAGGCCUGGUACCUUUCCAAAAGAAGUCUGAGCCCUGUGCCCGUUACCUCUGCUGACCUGAACAUUAUACCUCCUCCCCGACCCCAGGGCUCCAUUCGCUUUUGAAGCAGCCGCUGCCCUGCGUGGGCUCAUGUGAAGCUCGGGGUUACCUGAAACCCCCGUGUCUGUUUCACAUGGACUGCGGCCAAGGCAAGAUGCUCCUGGAGCAGUUACUCGUUUGGAUCCCAGCUGCAGGCCCCGGCAUUGGUCGGGACUGUGGUUUUCACGGUUUGGGCUAACAUUACAGCUAUAAAAAAAUGCGAUAGGUGUUGGUUUAUCUAUAUGGCCAUUUGUUGGCAAUUAACGAAUUCAUGUUUGUGUGUCUCACAUUCCCAAGCAGAUUGCUAGUUCCCUGAGGGCAGAGGACCUGCGUUGUCUCCUCUGUGUCGCCCAUGGGGGCCUGGCACAAAGGGUGCAAACAGCAGGUGUCCACUGGCAUUCCUACUGCCCGUGGGGGGACAGAGACCCCACCCUCCACUCCCAGUCCUUCCAGGGCUCAGCACGCCCCUCGGGACACCCCAGCAGCUGACUCGGGACACAGAACACCCCCACCUGCAACAGCCCAACAGAGUGGUGCCCUGCGGCCGUGAUGGUGGGCAGGGCGGGAGGAAAGAGCACCUGCCCUGGAGCCAAGAGAUCCACAUCUGCGUCCCAGCCACAGCUUGUGACUCGUGCUGUUCUCUCACUUGUAAAACGGGGACAAUAAAAAUAAGUAUUAUGUGUUGAA